GAAAUGCGAUAAGUAAUGUGAAUUGCAGAAUUCAGUGAAUCAUCGCAUCUUUGAACGCACAUUGCGCCCCCUGGUAUUCCGGGGGGCAUGCCUGUUCGAGCGUCAUUUCACCACUCAAGCCUCGCUUGGUAUUGGGCGACGCGGUCCGCCGCGCGCCUCAAAUCGACCGGCUGGGUCUUCCGUCCCCUCAGCGUUGUGGAAACUAUUCGCUAAAGGGUGCCGCGGGAGGUCACGCCGCAAAACAACCCCAUUUCUAAGGUUGACCUCGGAUCAGGUAGGGAUACCCGCUGAACUUAAGC
rnacentral:misc_RNA from 1 species